UAGGACUUGGAAUUAAUCAAAAAGAAAAGUCCACUGUAGGAAGAAGUCGGAAGGAACGAUUGGAAGGAGCUCAUGACUCUCGCAAUGAGCCAAGAGCCGGGAAGCCUGACGACUGAGACAGAACGAGCCAAAGAGAUACUCUGCUCCAUGCUCCUGGGAAACAAGUCAGUGAUUAACCACAAGGAACUCAAGCUGACAACACACCUGGGACAAGGAGCUUACGGAACCGUGUACGAAGCAAUGUGGCUCGGUCACAAGUUCGCGGUGAAAGUCUUCCCUCAAGGUGACACCAGCUUUGCCAAAGAGCUCGCGGUUCUCGGAGCUCACAAGCAUCCCAACGUGUUGCACAUUGCCGGCCAUUCUUUCGAUGGAGAGAAGCAGCAGUACUCGCUGGUGAUGGAGAAGAUGGACAUGGACCUAGCAAACUACCUCCUCAAGAAGAACUCCCUCUCGUUGCUGUCGAUCGUGGCAGUGAUGCUCCAAGUCGGAAUCAAAUUUGUGACCAUCUUCUCCCGCUACUGUCAUCAAGGGCCUAAAACAUACACCAAUUUUCUUGUCUGAUUAAAGUAUGAUUCCCAGAAAAAAAAUAAAAUGCCUUAGGACAUUAGAAUUAUUCAAAAAGAAAAGUCCACGGUAGACUUUUCCCACGCUAUACCUUUACAAGAAUGGUGCGGCGCUGGUAACGGACAUGGCAGCAGCGACUUUGCUCGAGGCGAUUCGAAUCGCGGACAAGGUUGGCACAAUAUCCACUUCCAGCAAGGUCUGUAGAAACCAACAUAGGAUCCUCAUCGCGGCAGUUGGCUAUGUCCGAGACUACCUCAAGCAAAUCCAGGAUCUCAACUUCGCGAGCAACGGGCCAGCCUUCGUGUGGGACGAAACCGUGGCUGUCCUUAACAGAGGCCUCCAUCUCCUCAAGUCGUGCCAAGAAGGCAAUUGGAUCACGCGGAGCCUGCUGUUCAAGGAAAGCUGCGAUGAGUUCCAGAGCAUUUAUCCCGAGAUCCACAACUGCGUCGAGCUCGUCAGCGUCUAUCUCUUUCAGCUGGCACCGUCCACCUCGCACAGAUCCAGGAUUGCCGAGGCUUACAACUCGUGCCUCAUGUGGCAGAACUCGAGCAGCAUGCUGGAAGAAGCCGGAAGGAACGAUCGGAAGGAGCUCAUGGCUCUCGCAAUGAGCCAAGAGCCGGGAAGCCUGACGACCGAGACAGAACGAGCCAAAGAGAUACUCUGCUCCGUGCUCCUGGGAAACAAGUCAGUGAUUAACCACAAGGAACUCAAGCUGACAACACACCUGGGACAAGGAGCUUACGGAACCGUGUACGAAGCAAUCUGGCUCGGUCACAAGUUUGCAGUGAAAGUCUUCCCUCAAGGUGACACCAG
rnacentral:lncRNA from 1 species